rnacentral:rRNA from 1 species
GGUGAACGCUGGCGGCGUGCCUAAUACAUGCAAGUCGAGCGAACGGACGAGAAGCUUGCUUCUCUGAUGUUAGCGGCGGACGGGUGAGUAACACGUGGAUAACCUACCUAUAAGACUGGGAUAACUUCGGGAAACCGUAGCUAAUACCGGAUAAUAUUUUGAACCGCAUGGUUCAAAAGUGAAAGACGGUCUUGCUGUCACUUAUAGAUGGAUCCGCGCUGCAUUAGCUAGUUGGUAAGGUAACGGCUUACCAAGGCAACGAUGCAUAGCCGACCUGAGAGGGUGAUCGGCCACACUGGAACUGGGACACGGUCCAGACUCCUACGGGAGGCAGCAGUAGGGAAUCUUCCGCAAUGGGCGAAAGCCUGACGGAGCAACGCCGCGUGAGUGAUGAAGGUCUUCGGAUCGUAAAACUCUGUUAUUAGGGAAGAACAUAUGUGUAAGUAACUGUGCACAUCUUGACGGUACCUAAUCAGAAAGCCACGGCUAACUACGUG